rnacentral:rRNA from 1 species
GAACGGGUGCUAACUGCCCGCAAGGGUGGCUAGUGCUAGUGGCGGACGGGUGAGUAACACGUGGGCAACCUGCCUGAGAGUGCAGAAUAACCCUGCGAAAGCAGAGCUAAUACUGCAUGUGGUUGUCGGAUGGCAUCAUCUGACAACUAAAGUCGCAACACGCUCUCAGAUGGGCCCGCGGCCUAUUAGCUAGUUGGUGAGGUAACGGCCCACCAAGGCAAUGAUGGGUAGCUGGUCUGAGAGGACGGACAGCCACACUGGGACUGAGACACGGCCCAGACUCCUACGGGAGGCAGCAGUGAGGAAUUUUCCGCAAUGGGCGAAAGCCUGACGGAGCAACGCCGCGUGAGGGAUGAAGUCUCUAGGGAUGUAAACCUCUGUGGGGAGGGGACAAGGUCUGACGGUACCUCCUGAGGAAGCCCCGGUUAACUACGUG